AAAUUAAAUUUAAAUAGUUUAAUUAAAAAUUUUGAUUUGUGGUGUCAAAGAUACAGUUGUAUUGUUUUAAAUC
rnacentral:tRNA from 1 species